rnacentral:rRNA from 1 species
GACGAACGCUGGCGGCGUGCUUAACACAUGCAAGUCGAACGGAAAGGCCCUGCUUUUGUGGGGUGCUCGAGUGGCGAACGGGUGAGUAACACGUGAGUAACCUGCCCUUGACUUUGGGAUAACUUCAGGAAACUGGGGCUAAUACCGGAUAGGAGCUCCUGCUGCAUGGUGGGGGUUGGAAAGUUUCGGCGGUUGGGGAUGGACUCGCGGCUUAUCAGCUUGUUGGUGGGGUAGUGGCUUACCAAGGCUUUGACGGGUAGCCGGCCUGAGAGGGUGACCGGCCACAUUAGGACUGAGAUACGGCCCAGACUCCUACGGGAGGCAGCAGUGGGGAAUAUUGCACAAUGGGCGGAAGCCUGAUGCAGCAACGCCGCGUGCGGGAUGACGGCCUUCGGGUUGUAAACCGUUUUCGCCUGUGACGAAGCGUGAGUGACGGUAAUGGGUAAAGAAGCACCGGCUAACUACGUG